UACGUAGGGGGCAAGCGUUGUCCGGAUUUAUUGGGCGUAAAGAGCGUGUAGGCGGCUAGGUAGGUCCGUUGUGAAAACUCGAGGCUCAACCUCGAGACGCCGAUGGAAACCAUCUAGCUAGAGUCCGGAAGAGGCGAGUGGAAUUCCCGGUGUAGCGGUGAAAUGCGCAGAUAUCGGGAGGAACACCAAUGGCGAAGGCAGCUCGCUGGGACGUGACUGACGCUGAGGCGCGAAAGCGUGGGGAGCAAACAGG
rnacentral:rRNA from 1 species